GGGAAGCAGCGAAGCGGGGAACGCAAAGGGCACGGGCGGGGAGGCCGGAAAGGAGGCCGGGGGGAGGGGCAGGGAAAGAAAAAGCGGGGGGGGGGCGGCCGGUCGUGGUGACGCGUCGGAUUUGAGUCGUCUUACCUUCGGUUAAGCUUCUUAAAAUUUUUGCAUGAUUUUCGAACGUAUUUAAAUCGUUUACGUACGUUUGAGAUAUCGAAUGCUUAUUAGGUUCGGUCAUCCUCAUGACCCGCGCCUAUAAUUUUUUCAUUAAAUGACCUCAAAUCAGGUAAGAAUACCCGCUGAACUU
rnacentral:misc_RNA from 1 species